CCCUUAGAUGUUCUGGGCAGCACGCGCGCUACAAUGGUCUUCGCAAACGGAUGCAUUCUCGAAGGAGAAUGCCAAUCUUGGAAUCUAUGCCUUGGUCGGGACAGUUGCUUGCAAUUUUUCGACUUGAACCAGGAAUUCCUUGUAAUCGUGAUUCAUCACAUCACGAUGAAUACGUCCCUGCCCUUUGUACACACCGCCCGUCGCUCCUACCGAUCGAAGAGUUAGGUGAAUUGUUUUGAUCGAUAAGAUUUGACUAUGGUCAACUCUCGUUGUGAAAUUCUGUGAAUCUGACUGUUUAGAGGAAGGAAAAGUCGUAACA
rnacentral:rRNA from 1 species